rnacentral:rRNA from 1 species
UACGGGGGGGGCAAGCGUUGUUCGGAAUUACUGGGCGUAAAGGGCUCGUAGGUGGCCAACUAAGUCAGACGUGAAAUCCCCAGGCUCAACCUGGGAACCGCGCUUGAGACUGGCAGACUCGAGUUCGGGAGAGGAUGGUGGAAUUCCCAGUGUAGAGGUGAAAUUCGUAGAUAUUGGGAAGAACACCGAUGGCGAAGGCAGCCAUCUGGACCGACACUGACGCUGAGGCGCGAAAGCGUGGGGAGCAAACAGG